CGAAGAAGAAUCCAGCAGGCAGAAGCGUGCCGCCAUCAACAUUGCCUCCAUUUCUUCCUUGUUGUAGUUCUUCAAAUUCGGGUCAAUUAGUUGAUUUCCUUGGCCGCAACUGAGUAGAGGUCUUGCCUAUAAGAUUUCAACUUCCUGAACAACAUCGUCGGAUUGAGAAUCCGAGCUUAGAACUUUCACUGCUGCUGCUUGUCCAUCUUCGAGCAUUAAAAGACUUCAAAUGUAGAUUACAUAUGAACCAUUCCAUCACAGCUUGAAGGGAAAAAAGGAGGGAGGAAGCAGCUUCUGGCUAGAUGGCAAUGAUAAAAUAGAACAGUACGGUCACCAGCCGAGCUGCACCAUUGUUCAUGGUGCGUGGGAGUCCCCGAAAGGACAUGAAACUGUCUGGACAGGAAGGGAGAGAGAGAGAGAGAAAACGAGUGGCAAGCCCACCACUAGGAGAUAUCGUCCGCUUUAGUCUGUUACUUAUCGCGGUUAACCUCACGGUUUUCAAACGCGUCUACUAGAGAGAAGUUUUCACACCCUUCUAAAGAAUGUUUUGUUCCCCUCUCCAUCCGACAAUUGUGAGAUC